GCGAGAGUGGCGGAAAGGCAGACGCACUGGAAUUAGGAUCCAGCGGGAAACCGUGGGGGUUCAAAUCCCCCCUCUCGCA
rnacentral:tRNA from 1 species